rnacentral:lncRNA from 1 species
AUAUUUCAUCUCGACCAAAGCAUUUCUGCAUACAAUAUGUUGCACGACAGAUCUUACAUGUUGGGCUCACAAAAAGAAGACCAAUUACUAUGUCGGUCGAAUCUACAACUCUAAUAGAAUAGUUCAUGGUAUGUUCGGCUCCAAGAUUUCAUGGAGAACUCAUGGAUCAGGAUCAGAUCUAUACUAAUACUACUACACAACGGGUUUACUGUUUGCUCCUCUUGUUUGGGACAAUAUAAGGCGGCUAAAAAGGUAAUCUCGCUUGAAUAGGCGGAUGCGGGAUAAGCUGUAGAAGCAUCUGUUGACAUAGAAUUCUCGGCGUCAUAGUGAAGGAUGUCGAGCUUCACUGGGUCACCAUAUCUUGUUCUUGAUCCAAAAGAGCAUCAGUACUAUCCCCAUCACAAUGGCCACAGGGGCAUACUUCCGAAUUAAGGCCUGAAAAACCACAAGUGGCAAUUGCGUCAGAUUAAUAAGAAAAAGUAUGGUGGCUAGUGUUGACUAGAGAUUCCCAUUCUGCUUUGUUAAUGAACAUAGGACUGCAGAUACAGAAUGGAAUGUGUGCUUCACGAACAGAAGGCGCGGAGAUAUUACCAUUGUUUUUAAGGCGGUAAGGCAACCUAAGGCGAGCACCACCCGCUCCAGCGCCUAGGCGACGCCUAAGCGCCUAAGACGGGCAUAUUUGUAAGGCGCUGAAAGGCGCCUUAUCGCUCAAGCGUCCUAGGCAGGACGCCUUAAAAACAAAGCACUAGUGAGCAGUUUGUGGCAGAUCACAACGGGACCAAGUUAGUUUUUUACUGCACGUUUUUUAUUUGUUUGGAGUGACGAUUACAGCCAACAUAAUUUGCUGGAAGUGGCCAAUCAAACUAAAAUAGAAAGUACUGUACAAGGGAAAUGACAAUAAUUAUGCAGCUUGCAGCUGCUCAACUGUGAUGCGCUUCUCUGUCAAAAAAAAAGUGAUGUGCUUAAGCUAUUUUGCAAUCUGAUGUGAAAAGAGAGCCACAAAAAUAGGAAAUGUUAGUUAUUCAAAUAGGAAAAUAGGUAGUACUACAAACUUGUUAUCAAACAAAAUUACCAUAAUCCACUGACAAGGCAAACGUAGCAAGUAUCUAAUUAUGGAAUCUUCAAGUUGUUAAGUUUGAGAAAAAGAGGGCUCUGUGAUACCAACCAAAGAAAGUAGAUCUACCUCAAGACUCCUUUAAUUUAAAGAAGAUAAUGAAAAGUUUGAGAAUAAAAGAGCCCUGUGAUGCUUACAAACCAACGAAAGUAGAUCUACCUCAAGAAUCUUUUCAUUUAAGAAUGAUAUGAAAAAACAAACAGAAGACUACCAG